rnacentral:siRNA from 1 species
AGGGCCUGACUGGUUUAAACGCAG